CCUACGGGAGGCAGCAGUGGGGAAUAUUGGACAAUGGGCGAAAGCCUGAUCCAGCAAUGCCGCGUGAGUGAAGAAGGCCUUCGGGUUGUAAAGCUCUUUUACCCGGGAAGAUAAUGACUGUACCGGGAGAAUAAGCCCCGGCUAACUCCGUGCCAGCAGCCGCGGUAAUACGGAGGGGGCUAGCGUUGUUCGGAAUUACUGGGCGUAAAGCGCACGUAGGCGGCUUUACAAGUCAGGGGUGAAAGCCCGCGGCUCAACCGCGGAAUUGCCCUUGAGACUGUAUCGCUUGAACACGGGAGAGGUGAGUGGAAUUCCGAGUGUAGAGGUGAAAUUCGUAGAUAUUCGGAAGAACACCAGUGGCGAAGGCGGCUCACUGGACCGUAGUUGACGCUGAGGUGCGAAAGCGUGGGGAGCAAACAGGAUUAGAUACCCCGGUAGU
rnacentral:rRNA from 1 species